GGGAAUCAUCAAAUGGUUGAAAGAAAAGGGAGAGGGGGGGAAGAAAGGGAAGUACGCCUGUUUGAGGGUCAGUAUUAAUAAAAAAUCGGUUUAGUUAAAAAUUGUCAGGUUUCCGGAGUUUGGGCUAUCUUAACAUUUUGGUUAAGAGGCUUAAAAUUGACCUUUUUUGCGCAUUUUUAAACGUACAUAAAUUUUUUUUAUUCGUCUAUUCGGAACCGAAACAUCUUAUUACAGGCGAUCAGAGAG
rnacentral:misc_RNA from 1 species